UACGUAGGGUGCGAGCGUUAAUCGGAAUGACUGGGCGUAAAGGGUGCGCAGGCGGUUGGUCAAGACGGAUGUGAAAGCCCCGGGCUUAACCUGGGAGUGUCAUUCGUGACUGACGAACUAGAAUAUGGCAGAGGGAGGCGGAAUUCCACAUGUAGCAGUGAAAUGCGUAGAGAUGUGGAGGAACACCGGUGGCGAAGGCGGCCCGCUGGGCAACUGCUGACACUGAUGCGCGACAGCGUGGGGAGCAAACAGG
rnacentral:rRNA from 1 species